AGUGAACGCUGGCGGUAGGCCUAACACAUGCAAGUCGAACGGCAGCACAGUAAGAGCUUGCUCUUACGGGUGGCGAGUGGCGGACGGGUGAGGAAUACAUCGGAAUCUACUUUUUCGUGGGGGAUAACGUAGGGAAACUUACGCUAAUACCGCAUACGACCUACGGGUGAAAGCAGGGGAUCUUCGGACCUUGCGCGAUUGAAUGAGCCGAUGUCGGAUUAGCUAGUUGGCGGGGUAAGGGCCCACCAAGGCGACGAUCCGUAGCUGGUCUGAGAGGAUGAUCAGCCACACUGGAACUGAGACACGGUCCAGACUCCUACGGGAGGCAGCAGUGGGGAAUAUUGGACAAUGGGCGCAAGCCUGAUCCAGCCAUACCGCGUGGGUGAAGAAGGCCUUCGGGUUGUAAAGCCCUUUUGUUGGGAAAGAAAAGCAGCAGGUUAAUACCCCGCUGUUCUGACGUUACCCAAAGAAUAAGCACCGGCUAACUUCGUG
rnacentral:rRNA from 1 species